rnacentral:rRNA from 1 species
GACAGGGGAUGCAAGCGUUACUCGGAAUUACUGGGCGUAAAGCGUCUGCAGGCUUCUUUCCACGUCUGGCAUGAAAACGCGAAGCUUAACUCCGCGUUGUGCUGGAAACGAGAGAGAUAGAGUCACAGAGAGGCAUCUGGAAUGUCGUGUGUAGGGGUAAAAUCCGUAGAUCCACGAUGGAACGCCAAAAGCGAAGGCAGGAUGCUGGCUGUGUACUGACGCUCAGAGACGAAAGCGUGGGGAGCAAAGGGG